UCUGUAAGCCGAAAUACCCUGGAGGAACCAGAUCCCAUUUGAUCUCAAAAGCUAAACACAAUCAGCCCCAGUUAUUACUUGGAUGGGAGACUGCCAAGGAAUCCCAGGUGCUAUAGGAU
rfam:Anolis carolinensis unplaced genomic scaffold chrTn0094, whole genome shotgun sequence.